GUAACCCGGCAGACGGCUCAGUAACACGUGGACAAUUUACCCUUGGGACCGGGAUAACCCCUGGGAAACUGGGGCUAAUACUGGAUAGAGCAUCGGCUGCUGGAAUGCGCGAUGUUCGAAAGCUGAGGCGCCCAAGGAUAGGUCUGCGGCUGAUUAGGUUGUUGUUGAUGUAACGGAUCAACAAGCCCGCGAUCGGUACGGGUUGUGAGAGCAAUAGCCCGGAGAUGGGUUCUGAGAAAAGAACCCAGGUCCUACGGGACGCAUCAGGCGCGAAAACUUUACAAUGUGCGAAAGCGCGAUAAGGGAACUCUGAGUGCCUCCUAAGGAGGCUGUUCAGGUGUCUAAAAAGCAUCUGGAGUAAGGGCUGGGCAAGACUGGUGCCAGCCGCCGCGGUAACACCGGCAGCUCAAGUGGUAGCCAUGCUUAUUGGGUCUAAAGCGUCCGUAGCCGGCUGAGUAAGUUCCUUGGGAAAUUUGACCGCUUAACGGUUAAGCUAUCAGGGAAUACUGCUUGGCUUGGGACCGGGAGAGGUCAGAGGUACUCCAGGGGUAGGGGUGAAAUCUAUUAAUCCUUGGGGGACCACCGGUAGCGAAGGCGUCUGACCAGACCGGGUCCGACGGUGAGGGACGAAGGCUGGGGUCGCGAACCGGAUUAGAUACCCGGGUAGUCCCAGCUGUAAACGAUGCGGGCCAGGUGUUGGCAUUACUGCGAGUGAUGUCAGUGCCAAAGGGAAGCCGUUAAGCCCGCCAUCUGGGGAGUACGGUCGCAAGGCUGAAACUUAAAGGAAUUGGCGGGGGAGCAC
rnacentral:rRNA from 1 species